rnacentral:hammerhead_ribozyme from 1 species
AUACAGCUGACGAGUUCGAAAUAGGACGAAACGUGCAUCAUGUAU